GGAUAAUUGACUGUACUUGUUUAAGUUUACAAAACAUGUGUGCAAUUUAAUGCUUCUGGACGUAGCCACGCACCUGUGACACCACCUCCACAAUCAAGAUAAUGAAGAUUUGGGGAGUUGCAAAUGAAGCUGCUGUGAACACUCAAGCGCGUGCCGUCGAGGGGGCGAAUCCUCCCAUUGCUGUCGGUAAAUAAAAACAGCGGAGUGUCUGGGUCACGUGGCUGUCAUAGGUACACAAGUUUGAGCUCUGGUCCGGGAAGAUCCCACGUGCCGCGGGACAACUAAGCCCUGCGCCACAACUACUGAGCCUGCGCUCUAGAGCCCGUGAGCCACGACUACUGAAGCCGGCAUGUCUAGAGCCCAUGCUCCACAGCAAGA